rnacentral:rRNA from 1 species
UACAGAGGUCUCAAGCGUUGUUCGGAUUCAUUGGGCGUAAAGGGUGCGUAGGCGGCGCGGUAAGUCGGGUGUGAAAUCUCGGAGCUUAACUCCGAAACUGCAUUCGAUACUGCCGUGCUUGAGGACUGGAGAGGAGACUGGAAUUUACGGUGUAGCGGUGAAAUGCGUAGAUAUCUGGAGGAACACCGGUGGCGAAGGCGGCGCUCUGGAACGUUUCUGACACUGAGGCUCGAAAGCGUGGGGAGCAAACAGG